rnacentral:rRNA from 1 species
GACGAACGCUGGCGGCGUGCCUAAUACAUGCAAGUAGAACGCACAGUUUAUACCGUAGCUUGCUACACCAUAGACUGUGAGUUGCGAACGGGUGAGUAACGCGUAGGUAACCUGCCUGGUAGCGGGGGAUAACUAUUGGAAACGAUAGCUAAUACCGCAUAAUAUUAAUUAUUGCAUGAUAAUUAAUUGAAAGGUGCAAUUGCACCACUACCAGAUGGACCUGCGUUGUAUUAGCUAGUAGGUGAGGUAACGGCUCACCUAGGCGACGAUACAUAGCCGACCUGAGAGGGUGAGCGGCCACACUGGGACUGAGACACGGCCCAGACUCCGACGGGAGGCAGCAGUAGGGAAUCUUCGGCAAUGGACGAAAGUCUGACCGAGCAACGCCGCGUGAGUGAAGAAGGUUUUCGGAUCGUAUAGCUCGGUUGUAAGAGAAGAACGGGUGUGAGAGUGGAAAGUUCACACUGUGACGGUAUCUUACCAGAAAGGGACGGCUAACUACGUG